rnacentral:rRNA from 1 species
UACGAAGGGGGCUAGCGUUGCUCGGAAUCACUGGGCGUAAAGCGCACGUAGGCGGAUUGUUAAGUCAGGGGUGAAAUCCUGGAGCUCAACCCCGGGCCUGCAGCCGAUACGGGCAAACUAGAAUUCGGUAGGGGAGACUGGAAUUCCUGGUGUAGCGGUGAAAUGCGCAGAUAUCAGGAGGAACACCGGUGGCGAAGGCGGUGAUCUGGGCCGGCACUGACGCUGAGGAGCGAAAGCGUGGGUAGCAAACAGG